GUAGACACCUAAGUAUGGAAUCGUUUGAGAAAACAGUGUUCCAUAUGGUGUCGAUCGACACCGGGAUUCUCACUUCAUAUGGUGUAGUCCAGACCCAGUGUCGAUCGACACUAGAGGUGUGUCGGUCGACACCUAAGUAUGGAAUCGUUUGAGAAAACAGUGUUCCACAGGGUGUCGAUCGACACCAACUAUGCAGCUGCGAGCUCCAACUCGUCUUCAGUGUCCAAUUCCUCCCACACAUCAUCUCCAUCUCUGAUCAAGAUGGCAUAACAGCUCUUCCUAGGGUUAGCAUAAGGGUUUCCAGGAAGAAAGUCCUCUUGUCUCUUGAUAGAUUGUGCAGUUUGAGCAACCUGUACAUCUAGCUUUUUUAUGUGAGAGCUCAGAUUGUUGAUCUUCCCGUUAAAACCUGUGUAGACAGCAUCAAACUUGCCAUUAAACUCAACAACGAGCUUUGUAUGACUCUCUAGAAUCUACUCAAACAUGGAUUCUAUUCUACUCUCUGAUGAGGGUGGAGAGAGGGG
rnacentral:sRNA from 1 species